ACCCCUUGGAAAUUCACUAUAAUCCCGCGGAUUACAGUUGGAUUGUUUUCCGGGCUCACAAUCCAAAAACCUUUACACUUUGGUUUUCCGGGUUCACCAAAAACCUAUGCUGGUUUUACGGGCUCACCAACGAACCUUUCCAAUUGGUUUUCCGGGUUUACCAAUCAACCUAUUCCGUUGGUUUUGCGGGCUAACCAACCAACCUUUACAAGUAGUUUAACAAAUAAAGAAGGAAGAUUUAAACUCCUAGAUGAGCAAAUAAAAUAAUAUAAUCAACAAAGAAGAGUUUAAAAAGUAUUUAUCGCUUGUAGUGACUUCUCUCUUCUUUGUCAAGGAUGCUUCACUCUUCAAGGGAGGAUGGAGCUCUUGAUGACUCUUUGAAUCUGCUCAA
rnacentral:lncRNA from 1 species